GGGAAGCGAGACUGCAAAGUGGAGCGAAACCCAGAAAAGUACUCUCAGUUCAGAUUGUGGGCUGCAACCCGCCCACAUGAAGUUGGAGUUGCUAGUAAUCGCGGAUCAGCAUGCCGCGGUGAAUACGUUCCCGGGCCUUGUACACACCGCCCGUCACACCAUGGGAGUUGGGAGCGCCCGAAGCCGGUGAGGUAACCGAGAGGAGCCAGCCGUCGAAGGUGAGACCAAUGACUGGGGUGAAGUCGUAACAAGGUAUC
rnacentral:rRNA from 1 species